AAUUGAACUACUUCAGCUUCUUCUGCAAAUAUUCAGCACUGUUUAAUCAAUUCCUAUUUCUCCUUAGAUACAUUCAACUAUGAUUUACAUGAUUGAGCUAUUUCAUCUGUUUUAAAUGUUUCAGUUACUUUCAGCAACUCUUCAGGAAUAUUUUCAGCUUGGAAGCAUUCACUGUGCAUUUUCUUAUGGAAAUGCUUUUUCUAGUUAGUGGGAGAGCUGAACAGCUCUCACACUAUUGAGAUCUUCGCUCUUUAUUAUUAGUGGGAGAGCUGAACAGCUCUCACACUAUUGAUAUCUUCGCUCUUUAUUAUUAGUGGGAGAGCUGAACAGCUCUCACACUAUUGAUAUCUUCGCUCUUUAUUAUUAGUGGGAGAGCUGAACAGCUCUCACACUAUUGAGAUCUUCGCUCUUUAUUAGUGGGAGAGCUGAACAGCUCUCACACUAUUGAGGUCUUCGCUCUUUAUUAGUGGGAGAGCUGAACAGCUCUCACACUAUUGAGAUCUUCGCUCUUUAUUAGUGGGAGAGCUGAACAGCUCUCACACUAUUGAGAUCUUCGCUCUUUAUUAGUGGGAGAGCUGAACAGCUCUCACACUAUUGAGAUCUUCGCUCUUUAUUAUUAUUAGUGGGAGAGCUGAACAGCUCUCACACUAUUGAGAUCUUCGCUCUUUAUUAUUAUUAUUAGUGGGAGAGCUGAACAGCUCUCACACUAUUGUUAUCUUCGGUCUUUAUUAGUGGGAGAGCUGAACAGCUCUCACACUAUUGUUAUCUUCGGUCUUUAUUAUUAUUAUUAUUCUUCUUCUACUUAUUCCGCCCUUUUUUUGAUUGCUAUCUACUUUUUAACGCUUCAUCGUAGAAUUGUCGUUCAACUUUCUAAACGUGUGUCAUCUUUAGGAGAUGUGGGCUAUUACUUUUUAUGUUUUCAGCUUUUCAACUUUUAACGUUAUUCAACUUUUUUCAUCGUUUUUUUAUAAUGGUCGUCUAUGGGAAUCAUCGUUAAACUUUUUGUCAACUUCCCUCUUUUCAUCAGCGUCUAUCAUUGUCAUACUUUGGCGUAGAAACGUCAUUUCAACUUCAAAAGCGUCCAUCAUAUUUUAAUCUUGUCCUAGUAUGACAUUGGUCAUCUUUUUAAUCGCCAUCUUUUGUCAUCGUUUUAUUCUUUGUCAACGUUUUCUCGUUUUCAUCGCUUUGCCGUAGUCAACUUUUGGACGUAGUCAACUUUUUUGACGUCAGCAGCUUAAUCAGCGUUUGUCAUCGUUGCGGCAGCAGAUCAGCUCUCCCACGUAAUUUCUCGAGAAAUUACUUUUUCUAGUUAUUAUUAUUCUUAUUAUUUCGCCCCGUUUUUCGGUCGCUAUCUACUUCUCAACGCUUCAUCGCAGAAUCAUCGUUCAACGUUCUAA
rnacentral:lncRNA from 1 species